rnacentral:lncRNA from 1 species
AUGUCCACUGGGGAGGGCCACACGGCGGGAACAGAGACAAGUACCCGGCACACACAGCGGCUGUGUCCACUGGGGAGGGGUACACCAGGAAGGCGGGGACAGAGGCCUCAAGUACCCAGCACGCACAGUGGUCGUGUCCACUGGGUAGGGCCACAUGGUGGGGACAGAGGCCUCAAGUACCCAGCAUGCACAGCAGCUAUGUCCACUGGGGAGGGCCACACCAGGAAGGCGGGGACGAGAGGCCUCAAGUACCCAGCAUGCACAGGGGCCAUGUCUACUGGGGAGGGCCACACGGUGGGGACAGAGGCUUCAUGUAGCAAUAGGGAUUCACAGGUUCCCUUGAGUUGGCCCCGGUGGCUGCACCACCCCAGAAGAUGGAGCGGUGGGGGGGGAGAUGGGGAGGGCAGAGGGGAGGGGAGGGAGAGAGACCAUCGAUCCUAUCUGCUAGUUCACCCCCCAAAGGCCAACAGAGGCUGGGCCACAGCUACAAGCUGGCUGCUAAGUCCCGCCUCCCACACGGACAGGAAUCCGAGGACCUCCCGCAGGUCCCAGGUCUGCAGCCGAUGGACUCCCACCACGCCCUCUAGGGUGCUGACUGGACCAGUGCCUCCACUGGGCUCAGCGGCCUGCCUUCACACUUUCACAGACAGACCACACCCUAGGCUGACUGCACUCCAGCGAGAACGCAGCUAUGUGCUAAUGAACCAAAACGUCAUGCGCCUGGACGGAUGGCGGUACUCCCCUCUGGCCGAGGAGCGCUUGCCCCCGGCAUACCGUCCCGAGUUCAGACCCAGAGUCCUGGGACGUCAUGUCUUCCCCAGCAAGGGCCAACAGCGGGCCUGUCAGCUGCUCCCAGGUACUGAGUCCCACGAUCAGCCCUGGUUAGUGGCCAGAGACUUCGCCAGCUGGGCGAUAGGUCUGGCAUUCCUGGGAUCCCUACAGAGAUACUUUGUUAACUUCCACAGAUAUGCUUCUCCCGCGAAAGGCUACCCAAGAGGGGUUCUAGAACAUCCCCAGUCCAGGGGAUGGGCUAUCAGUCUGCAGAAGGCCCGGGCCUGGGAUACUGCGAGUAAAAUUCCUGGAUGGGGCCUGGGUGGGGCCAGCUCAGGUUUUGCCAAGAGCCGUGACGAACGAGACACAGGCAGGACCACGGCCCCAGCAGUCCACUAG